UACGUAGGGUGCAAGCGUUAAUCGGAAUUACUGGGCGUAAAGCGUGCGCAGGCGGUGAUGUAAGACCGAUGUGAAAUCCCCGGGCUUAACCUGGGAACUGCAUUGGUGACUGCAUCGCUCGAGUAUGGCAGAGGGGGGUAGAAUUCCACGUGUAGCAGUGAAAUGCGUAGAGAUGUGGAGGAAUACCGAUGGCGAAGGCAGCCCCCUGGGUCAAUACUGACGCUCAUGCACGAAAGCGUGGGGAGCAAACAGG
rnacentral:rRNA from 1 species